rnacentral:lncRNA from 1 species
CUGGAAACAGGCAGCUGGAGUGGGAGUGGCUCCUGGGGCAGGGGAGUGGUACUCAGACCACAGGAGGGCCAGGUGACCACAGGUAUGGGCUUGGCAGGGAGAACCAGCCUGCUAGGCAGAGGGCUGUGGAGCUGAGCCCUGGAGCCCAGGGACUGAGGCAGAGAAGGGGAGGUGGGCCCCAGCAGCUGCUAGAGAGUGAAGGAGCUGGACCAAGCCCCGGGGGAGGAAGGCAUCACGGCAAGGGAAGGGUCGCAGUCACAACCACACCUCGAGAGGGAGACCUGUGGCCAAAGCCCGGGGGGGCACACACUACAGCUGUUCCCGUGCCCACUUUGGUCCUGAGAGACUCAGGGCCAGGGGUCCAGAACAGUUCAGCAUCAGGAAUGGGGCGGGGAAGGCAGAGAGGGAGAAGGGGCUGGCUCCGACCAGAGCAGAGCCCUGGGGAUAGCUUGAAUCUGCCCUCACACCCUCCGGCCUACCUCUAUGGAGCCACAGUCCACUGCUCCAGCCCCUGGGCAACCCCCCGGCCCGCCCUCCUGGGGACACAGAGGCCAUCAAGGGAUGGGCUACGGUGGCCGGUGCCCAGGCCAGACCAGGGCCGUGGGCGUGCUCAGUUAGGAUCAACUGUUGGAUGACGGGAUGGCCGCGCGGGUGAAUGCAGGGACGCGACCAGCAAGGCCCCCGUUCAAAUGGGGCAGGGGUCGGAAGCUGCUCACACACCUCUCAAAAAUGAAUUCCACCCUCCAGCCUUUGCACCUAGAACUCUUCGCAUGGCCCAGCUAGUGGCUCAGCUGUGGUGGUCGAGUCCUUUCAUUCACUCAC